CAGGAAUUACGAAACUGGUUUUCAUAAUGAUUUGACAGAUUGUUCUAUAUUCUGAGAUCAUUGUGAAAGCUGAUUUUGUUCC
rnacentral:pre_miRNA from 1 species